CAGCAGCCGCGGUAAUACGUAGGUGGCAAGCGUUGUCCGGAAUUAUUGGGCGUAAAGCGCGCGCAGGCGGUUYYUUAAGUCUGAUGUGAAAGCCCACGGCUCAACCGUGGAGGGUCAUUGGAAACUGGGGAACUUGAGUGCAGAAGAGRAGAGUGGAAUUCCACGUGUAGCGGUGAAAUGCGUAGAGAUGUGGAGGAACACCAGUGGCGAAGGCGACUCUUUGGUCUGUAACUGACGCUGAGGCGCGAAAGCGUGGGGAGCAAACAGGAUUAGAUACCCUGGUAGUCCACGCCGUAAACGAUGAGUGCUAAGUGUUAGAGGGUUUCCGCCCUUUAGUGCUGCAGCAAACGCAUUAAGCACUCCGCCUGGGGAGUACGGCCGCAAGGCUGAAACUCAAAGGAAUUGAC
rnacentral:rRNA from 1 species